GGGGAGAGGCCCGAAGCCCUGGAGACAGCGCCCGAGGGAUGGAGGCCGCGCUCGGCUGCGCUCAGGUGCGGGUGGCUCCGGGAGCUGAGACCCCGCAGGAUGCAGCGGGGGGGCCAGGGCCUGAUCCCCUACCCCUGGGAGCCAGGGCCGCCUACGCCCCCACUGCUUCCCACAGGCUACUAGACGCAACAAUAGAAUUACCAUAUUGUUUUUCCUGGUUUGAAAGGACCAGAUGGAAAGAAACUGGGCAAGCCAAUGAAAGUCUCUGGGGAUCAUGGGAAUUGAGUGUCUAUGAAAACCAUAUUCCAGACAAGAAUAUAGUCUAAGGACACAGCAAAAGGCAACAUUUUGGAAGCAGAGGGCAACUCUCACUGGAAACCAAAUCUCCUGGCACCUUGAUCUUGGACUUUACAGCCUCCAGAACUGAUAGCUGGGAGGCAUUAUAUAGUCAUGUGCGAG
rnacentral:lncRNA from 1 species